rnacentral:pre_miRNA from 1 species
CCAACUUAGACUGCGUUAUACUGCCAUUGUCUCGUGUAUCACAGUCCAAGCUUUGG